rnacentral:rRNA from 1 species
AGUGAAUAGAUACCCAGGUAGUCCUAGCCGUAAACGAUGGGUACUAGGUGUUGAAGGAUUCUACCCCUUCAGUGCCGCAGCUAAAUGCAUUAAGUACCCCACCUGGGGAGUACGAUCGCAAGGUUGAAACUCAAAGGAAUUGACGGGGGCCCGCACAAGCGGUGGAGCAUGUGGUUUAAUUCGAUGCAACGCGAAGAACCUUACCUAGGCUUGACAUGCAGGGGACAGGUGUAGAAAUACAUCCUUCCUUCGGGACCCUUGCACAGGUGCUGCAUGGCUGUCGUCAGCUCGUGUCGUGAAAUGUUGGGUUAAGUCCCGCAACGAGCGCAACCCUCGUCUUUAGUUGCCAUCAGGUAAUGCUGGGGACUCUAGAGAGACUGCCGGUGACAAACCGGAGGAAGGUGGGGACGACGUCAAGUCAUCAUGGCCCUUACGCCUAGGGCUACACACGUGCUACAAUGGUCGGUACAAAGGGCAGCAAUGCCGCGAGGUGGAGCGAAUCCCAAAAGCCGGCUCAGUUCGGAUCGAAGU